AAAAGGUUACAGCUCUUUUAGUUUGUCUAGCAGGUUUUCCGGUUUUCUCUGGAAGACCCCC
rnacentral:snRNA from 1 species